AAAACGCUCCGCGAAAAUGGCCUCGUGGAGGAUGGUGUCGUCACGUAAUCUCCUGACAGCUUGAUUCCUGACACCGGGGGCUGCAUUAAUAUAUAAUUUCUCGUCCAGGACGGACUGCAGGGCGAAGAAGGCUUCCUUCUGGCCGUGGCGCACAGCCUUGAAGAGGGGCGUCUCUUGCCACUCGUUUUGAAUCUCGACCACCAUUUCGGGGUGCAACCUGGCCAUGGCCAAACACACAUUCACCAUCCCAAGAGCGGCGGCGAAGUGGAGCGCCGUAUCACCCCAAUCGUUCCGGAUCGCCAGAAUCUCCUGUCUACGUUUGUCGAGCACGCUCUUUUCCAGGCAGCCCAUGAGAAGCUUCACGUUGCUCUCUUUGCCGCUCGAUACGGCCAAGUGCAGCAAGGUAUCCCCAGCCCAGGUUAUCCGGGUUUC
rnacentral:lncRNA from 1 species